GAGGGUACAGCUUAGUGGCAGAGCUUGAGCUUAGCAUGCGUGAGGUCCUGGGUUCAAUCCCCAGUACCUCCA
rnacentral:tRNA from 1 species